rnacentral:rRNA from 1 species
GAUGAACGCUGGCGGCGUGCCUAAUACAUGCAAGUCGAGCGGUAAGGCCUCUUCGGAGGUACACGAGCGGCGGACGGCUGAGUAACACGUAGGAACGUACCCCAAAGUGAGGAAUAAGCACCAGAAAUGGUGUCUAAUACCGCAUGUGCUCUAAGGAGUAAAGCUUCGGCGCUUUGGGAACGGCCUGCGCAUGAUUAGCUUGUUGGUGAGGUAAAAGCUCACCAAGGCGACGAUCAUUAGCUGGUCUGAGAGGAUGAUCAGCCAGACUGGGACUGGGACACGGCCCAGGAUCCUACGGGAGGCAGCAGUAGGGAAUUUUCCACAAUGGGCGAAAGCCUGAUGGAGCAACGCCGCGUGCAGGAUGAAUGCCUUCGGGUUGUAAACUGCUUUUAUAUGUGACGAUUAUGACGGUAGCAUAUGAAUAAGGAUCGGCUAACUCCGUGCCAGCAGCCGCGGUAA